rnacentral:rRNA from 1 species
CCUACGGGCGGCAGCAGUGAGGAAUAUUCGGCAAUGGGCGCGAGCCUGAACCAGCAAAGCCGCGUGAAGGAUGACUGCCCUACGGGUUGUAAACUUCUUUUAUAAAGGAAUAAAGUGAGGCACGUGUGCCUUUUUGUAUGUACUUUAUGAAUAAGGAUCGGCUAACUCCGUGCCAGCAGCCGCGGUAAUACGGAGGAUCCGGGCGUUAUCCGGAUUUAUUGGGUUUAAAGGGAGCGUAGAUGGGUUGUUAAGUCAGUUGUGAAAGUUUGCGGCUCAACCGUAAAAUAGCAAUUGAUACUGGCAGCCUUGAGUACAGUUGAGGUAGGCGGAAUUCGUGGUGUAGCGGUGAAAUGCUUAGAUAUCACGAAGAACUCCGAUUGCGAAGGCAGCUUACUAAACUGCCACUGACAUUGAUGCUCGAAAGUGUGGGUAUCAAACAGGAUUAGAUACCCUGGUAGUC